UUUUGCCUCUGUGUUGUAGCUAACGCGUUAAGCACUCCGCCUGGGGACUACGGUCGCAAGACUAAAACUCAAAGGAAUUGACGGGGACCCGCACAAGCGGUGGAGCAUGUGGUUUAAUUCGAUGCAACGCGAAAAACCUUACCACUUCUUGACAUGGAGGCUAGAUCCUUCUUAACAGAAGGGCGCAGUUCGGCUGGGCCUCGCACAGGUGCUGCAUGGCUGUCGUCAGCUCGUGUCGUGAGAUGUUGGGUUAAGUCCCGCAACGAGCGCAACCCUCAUCCUUAGUUACCAGCGGGUAAUGCCGGGCACUUUAAGGAAACUGCCAGUGAUAAACUGGAGGAAGGUGGGGAUGAUGUCAAGUCAGCACGGCCCUUAUGGGGUGGGCUACACACGUGCUACAAUGGCGACUACAAUAGGUUGCAACGUCGCAAGGCUGAGCUAAUCCGUAAAAGUCGUCUCAGUUCGGAUUGUCCUCUGUAACUCGAGGGCAUGAAGUCGGAAUCGCUAGUAAUCGUGGAUCAGCAUGCCACGGUGAAUACGUUCU
rnacentral:rRNA from 1 species